CCUGGAAGGGAGCAUCAUAGAGGGUGACAAUCCCGUCUUUGACACGGAGUAGGGCCAGGGCUUNAUGUGAAGCGCUCUCGACGAGUCGAGUUGUUUGGGAAUGCAGCUCUAAACGGGUGGUAAAUUCCAUCUAAAGCUAAACAUGGGCGAGAGACCGAUAGCGAACAAGUACCGUGAGGGAAAGAUGAAAAGAACUUUGAAAAGAGAGUUAAACAGUAUGUGAAAUUGCUGAAAGGGAAACGCUUGACGUCAGUCGCGUCGGCUGGGGAUCAACCUGGGGAGUUUGACUGGGCGUACUUCCUGGCUGACGGGUCAGCGUCAGUUUCGUUCGCUGUACAAGGGCCAGAGAAAUGUAGCACUCCUCGGAGNGUGUUUUAUAGUCUUUGGUCGAAUGCAACGAAAGGGACU
rnacentral:rRNA from 1 species